UUCCCGCCUUUCUCAUUGCACCAAGCGAUCUUAGGGACGAGAGACGAUUUCUAUUUUAGCUCGAUUUCUCUUUCGUGUUUAUCAGCUAAGGAAGUAGGAGAUAUGAAUGAAAUGAGGUUGGCUAGGAUGGGAGGUUUUAAAUACCAAUGGAGACGGUAAUACAUUCAAAGGGAAAUGGCUGUGGCUCAUUGUGGUGGUGACAAAACUUGUAAUCUUCCAGGACAGGUAAAGUUUAUUCUAAGCUUUUUAAGAUUUGUGAAUGAUUUGGAGUAAUGGUUAUAAUAACUUACAUUUUUGUUGUUAUUAUAGUUGAAUUAUAUUAUGUCCAUAAUCAACCAUUGUCAAUUAAAACACAAACCUCCCUUAGACUUGACAUAUUUUGGCAGUCCAUUAAAGGUGGUUGUUACACCAAGCACACAACAGUAGUCAAUCGCAGGUCAUGACAGUCCAUGGUAGUCAAUGGUAUGUAUGUCACGGCAGUACAGUCCAUGGUAGUCAAUGGUAUGUAUGUCACGGCAGUACAGUACAUGGUAGUCAAUGGUAUGUAUGUCACGGCAGUACAGUACAUGGUAGUCAAUGGUAUGUAUGUCACGGCAGUACAGUACAUGGUAGUCAAUGGUAUGUAUGUCACGGCAGUACAGUACAUGGUAGUCAAUGGUAUGUAUGUCACGGCAGUACAGUACAUGGUAGUCAAUGGUAUGUAUGUCACAGCAGUACAGUACAUGGUAGUCAAUGGUAUGUAUGUCACGGCAGUACAGUACAUGGUAGUCAAUGGUAUGUAUGUCACGGCAGUACAGUCCAUGGUAGUCAACGGUAUGUAUGUCACGGCAGUACAGUACAUGGUAGUCAAUGGCAGUCCAUGUAGUGGGAUGUCAUGGCAGUCUAUGGUAAUCUAUGGCAAUCCAUGGUAGUCAAUGACAUUAUAUGGCAGUACAUGGUGGUGAACUGCCUUGACUUGCCAUUGCAUAGUAUGGCAGUCCAUGGUAGUCAAUGAAAGUCUAUGGUAGUCCGUGGUAGUCUAUGGCAAGUCAUGGUAGUCAUUGGCAAGUCACUACUUCGCUACUUCGCUUCGGAUAACCAAGCGAUCCUUUUCCUUCCAAAUGCGUUGGAUAGCAGCUUUUUCUUCUCUGCUAGUUGUUUGCUCAUUGGUUUUUACUGCGUGUAUCACCUUCUGUAUGACUGGUUCCUCUUUCUGGUGUCGUGACCAUCCAGCGGGAGUAACUACUAAGCUUGGAGCACUUUGCUGCUGCUGGCAGAGAGGCGGCGUCGUUGCUACAUGAGCGUCACCUAACACUUACAACUCAUCGAGGAAAAACACUUCUGGUUGUGCUCCAAAAGGUUGUAAUAAUAAUAGCCUAUUGUAUUAUUUGAUUGACAUUGUAAUCAAUACUAGAUAACCGCACCCAUUUGUAAUCACGUAUAAGCUUUAGCUCGACUAUCAAUAAACACUAUUCAAUCACUACCCUUGGAGUACGUUAUUCCGCUAUCCAUCCUCCACUAUCCUUCAUCUUCUAUAAAGCACGGAACAUUACAAAGGUAGCAGCCUGUCUAAGAAUGGUCGUAAAAAGUCCUCUCUGUUCGACUCUGGUGGAGAGCAUGAGUUGUCUGCUUGUGGCAUCCUGGACAAACCGUCGGCGUCCCGCACGAUUUCCCUGGCCGGUAGCUGAUAGUAAAGUCAAAUGAAGAAAUUGCAGAAAGCCAACGAUGAUUACUAGCACUAAGCUUGGCACUCGUCAGUAGGUAGGUCAGCAGGUUACUAUCUGUUAUCACAUGAAACUGGCGUCCGUACUAGUUGUUGUGGAAUUUCUCUGUCAUGGCCCACUUUAGCGAAAGGAAUUCACGACUGGACGCGUAGUAUCUACUUUCCACUGCUGACAACGACCUACUGCCAUACGCAAUUACCCUUGGAAUACCAUCUUCUUGGAGUUGAUACAGAGCUGCUCCAAUGCCCUCGCCAGAAGCAUCUGUAUGCAGAACAAAAGGCUUAUUAAAAUCAGGGAAGGCAAGGACUGCGCUAGAGCAAACCCUGUUGAUUAAGCAUUCAAACGUGCUCUGACAUUCCGCUGUCCAGACGAACUGGCGCUUCCUUCCUGCCUGUACCCGUAACAGCUUGUUGAGAGGUUCGGGGAUAACCGAGAAACGUUUGGCAAAGGUACGGUAGUAUCCGGCGAAACCCAGGAAAGUCUGCAAGUCCUAAGCAUUGGUUGGAGGGUGUUGACGCCAUUUCAUUGAGCCAUCUGACAGCUCCGCCUACAUCUAAGUGACAAAUUAGUGCCGAUCACAAAAGGCACACGGGAAUUGUACUUAUUAUUGUGUACCACUAGUGCCAGUGUUUCAAACGUCUCAUUAGUUCCAAUUUCUUCUACAGGAAAAAAAUGCUACCGAUAUGUAGCCUAUAAAUCGUACAUCCUGGCCGCCGGCGCCAACAACAAGUAUCAGAUCACUGAUUGGUUUCACAGCACAAUGCAACAAAUAGCGUUUGUAGAAUGAUUCGAAAACCGAUGUUACCUUACUGCCUGUUUUGAGCAUCGCCAAGCCAGCAUUGCCAUCUGCAAAGGCCACACACACAUUUGCUUCGCCAAUUAGCUCGCUUGGUAAUUCUCGGGCACUAAUUCCAACAGGUGGGGUACUGUCCGAAUUGUUUAAGGCCUGUAAUUGCCCCAUGGCAGAGGCCUCUGUCCGUUUCACUGGUUACCGAACUGCUGAGGUGGUCUGUUUCCCUGGUUACGGAACUGCGGGGGGUUUCUGCAGCCAAUGGCCACGUGACCCCGUUCUCCACAGUUGUAGCAGGUCGGGCGGUCGCCAUUAGGCUCUUGAGCCCGCCGCCCUCUCGCGAUAGGGGCUCGUCCCACGUCAGAAUCCAGCGGAGCACUCUCAUUGGCCCAGGGCCCCAGGCCCCCCUCAAGGGUUUCCUUCAAGACUCCUCUAACCUCUCUUGAGAAACCUGCGCAGAAUUCUGCUAUCCAUUCGGGUUUUUGUUUCUUGUUACUUUCACGGGCUUCCUGUGGUUCGGCUUUGACGGUAACAUUGGAUCGGACCACGCGUUUUGGGGCCUUGGUCGAGGAGAGCUAUUUUUCUCCGUAUCGAGCUGCAGUGAUAAGCUCAGAAAAGCUUUUGCACGUGUCUUUACGGUGUCUUGCUUUGUCUUUGAUCUCAGGAUACAAGCCUGCCCAGAAAAGCAUACGCAGUUGCCUCUCAACGGCGCUUUCGUCCGGCAAGAGUUCUGUAUUCCUUACGUAAGCGAGCCUCACGUGGUCGUCGAGGCGACCCCUAAUCCCACGAGUUUGGUUUUCGCUUACCCCUGUAGUGGACGGCGGAUCUGUUCGGAAAUCACCUCCGUCGCAUAAAGGCCGCCUUGAACCAUACUCUCGACUUCGAACCUCCAUACUCUGUAUGAAACGCCUUUGUCCUUAUUCGCGCUAAACACGUAAAUGGGUGAGAAUCGAAGACGCGGUAGGAUUUGAUGUUGUUUCACGCUCGCGUUAUUAUUAAGGGACAUGCACAGAACGAACUUCGUCUCCUUCGACUUGUAGUCCACAGCAAUGUCGUAAGAAAGACUCAAGCUUCACAAAUUACUUCUUAAAAACUUCAGGGGCGAUCCGAAUUUCUUCUCAUACUCUUCGGCUAGUUUUGCCACAGGAACAAGAUAUUCCUCAGAGGAAGCUCCUUGUGUUUUCAACUACGCUACGAGUUCAGUAACCCGCAUCUGUUCCAUAUACAACUUCUCCUCUAUCGAAAGAUCCAUGUCUAACUGCUCGAACGUCCCGUCGGGGGUGCCAAUAUGUAAUAGCUCGGUCAGGAUAGGGUUUGGUGGCCCAGAGACAAAGAAUUACAAUGAAGUUGGGACGUUUAACAAUAUAAUUCACUCGCUUUCAACAUCGGGUCCAAGUCUAAAUCUGAUACACCUAGCAUCAUAUUACUAGCGACCUAACUGUUAUACAAUUAUCAACUUAAUCUUAAUUUGUUAUCGAGAAGAUCACACUCGCAAAGGCGACAUUUACAAGAUUUCACAGAAGCACAAAAAUAAUUUAUUUCCCGCAGCAAAAAGGACUUAUGACCUUCAGAUCUCGGUGUCUCUCAAGAAAAACACACUAAACGUAUACAGUAAUAAGUCUGCAAAAAUCUCCAAAAAUAUCAUCGUAGAGGAGAAAUCUUAUUCUAGACAAUUUCGGAAGAAUCAAAUCUAAAAAAGAAUUCGAAUACUUGCCGUAGUUUCAUUGCAUAGAUUGAUUAGUUGAACUUAAAAACACAAUCAUCUUUUUAUCGUUAUUUAGAAAGGCAUUAUUUAUUUUAUCAGAUCAAUUUCGAUAUUAGAAGUAAGUACUCGAUUAAAAAGUUUUGUUCAUUACAAAUAGUUGGCUGUCAUUUUGUGUUUUCACACCCACACACCUUUUAUGAUACAUCGAUUUUCAUUAAAAGGUAUAUCAAAUAUGAGAUAAAUAUAUUGGGGACGCAAAAGGGAGCCUUUGUUUCAUAAUUGUUUACGACGAUUCUACGAUAACCUCGGUUUUACGAUGGCGCGUCUUUCUCCCGGCGGAAAUAAAAUGAAAUGUAUAAGUAUCUAACGAUAUUGGGUAAAACGAUAUUCUCGAUUUUACGAUACCAAAUUUGUUCUCUCAAGAGUAAUGUUUACCUCGAUACAACGGUAUUACCUAUUCUGAGUAUCAACAAAGACAGAAAAACAAGACACCACACACUACACCCAUUACAGUUAAUCGAUUUUUUUACUUGAGUGAUCUUGUUAAGGUAGGUUAGUCUUACAGAGAUUAACUGAACAGUCUUACUCAGAUUACAGUUACGAUAUUUUAAUGGAUUUUUCUUUAUAUCGCAAUAUCGAGCUCCUCAUUGAACACCUCUUUGCAAUACCCCGAUUUUACGAUACAUAUUCUUUCUCCCAAGUCAUCGUAAAAUCCAGGUUCCACUGUAUUAAAUUAAUAACAUAUACCGGAUUAAAAAAUAAUAACGAUAAUGAUAAUAUAGAAUAAUAAUCAGAUAAGUAGUUGUAUUAAAAAACCUCUUCUGACAACAGCUCAUGUGACCCGCUCGUGUCUUGUCGCUCAGAUAAGAGACAGUGAAUUGGUAGACCUUAUAAGUUAUUUGCCUCGUCUGUUUCUGGCCUGCUCACUGUGGGUAUAAGUUUCACAGCAGAAUAUAUAUGUGGGCAAACCAACAGUUGGAGCGGUCGGGGGCCACACAUUUCUCCCUGUUUCAUUAGAUACAAUACACCACCAAGUGGACGGACUCGAGGAGUUGAGGCGGCUGUAUGGAAAUUGAAGAGCUAGAGUUCGAGUGAUAAAUAGUCCACAAGAUCCAUUGUGGCCGCUUGCUCACAGAUUUCGGCAUCGCCCAGCAAGCUAUGAUAGGUGCAAAGGAUUGUAAAGAGAUAUUGGUAUAGAUCCAUUCAUCGCUGGUGGAAGUAAUCAAGUAGUGACAAUAGCCAAUGUCAUCUAUUAUUUUUUUACCUCUUUGACUGUGUAUUGGUGAAGAUAAUUCCCCCAUCUUGUAUUACCUGGGGCUCUGCCCCAGAUGCCGGGGACGAGUUUGCAGGAAGGAGAUAUUCCAUGUCGUUGAAUUUUCGCGUUACAAUAUGAUUGGCUGGGACCUGGGGGAGUAUCCCAUUCCAACCACAAAUGUUUUAGGGAGUACUGCUUGGUACUUUAACUUCUCUGUUUGCUUUGAAUGUAGCACACGCCACAAGAGGGUAACCGGGAGAGCUGGAAAAAGUCAGAGGGCAGGACUCGACUCCAUGCAUACGCCGUCAGACUCUACUUUCAAAGCGUGUCUGAAUGUAAUUCAAACAUUUAAAAAUGUUUUGAUGUUAUUUCUUGUUUUGAGUUUGAUUCUGUCAUUGUUCUUUGUCUUCAUCUAGCAUCGCAAACCGUUUCUCCAGCACAUGCCACAAUAUUUUUAUUUUUAUUACAGUUUUGUAUUUUUUUUAGAUUCACAGCCUGUAUGUAGGCCUGCAAAUAUUGUAUCUUUAUACAAAGCUUGAAUUUGCUGAGCUUCCAAUGUGUAACUCCUUACACACACUUACAUUUAACUUCUUAAAUCAUGUCGCUCCAGCCAGAUACUGAUCUUGACCGUAAAAAUGACACUGUCCAAUUAUUAAAUAUACACAUACAGUAUUAAGAAAAAGGAAAAAAAAAUGAUAAUGAUAACAUAGAAAAAUAAUUAGAUAAGGAAUCAUAUUAAGAAAAACCUCUUCUUCUGACAA